rnacentral:lncRNA from 1 species
AGGCACAAUUUUAGGCUAUCAGUUUCACAACCAUUGAUUUAUAUCAUGAACCCAUUAUAUCCUCCUUAUUACUCCUCAACUGAACCAAAUUGAAUUCCUAUCACUAUGACAUAAAAGUUUAACAUGAUCUACCUAAUAUAACAAUAGUAGUUUUGAAUAGUAAUUGCUAAAGACCCUGCAGAAUAAAAAAUACAAAAGAUUAUAAGGGUUGGGCUAAUAUCUUCAACUUCGGCCGGAAUCUUGGGAGACAGAGACAGAGCGAAUCAGUUCGUGUUCAACUUUGGCCGGAAUCAGUUCUUUGUGACAGAGACGCGAUGAUUUCGUAGGAGGGAGCUUUAUGAAAGAGAGACGCUUUUGAUUUUGUGAGGAAAUGGACUCCAGACACUCUUGACCCGUUACCCAUUUCGAAAUGGAGCUCUGCGUGUUUUUUAUUCCCAACAAUUCCCUUUCCUGCCGUUGGAUAUAAUCUAAUGGCUGAAAUCAAAAGUUUGGAUUUUAUUUAAAAUCAGAGCUCCCUGACCAGAUCCAAAC